UACGUAGGGUGCGAGCGUUAAUCGGAAUUACUGGGCGUAAAGCGUGCGUAGGCGGUUCGUUAAGUUCGUUGUGAAAGCCCCGGGCUCAACCUGGGAACUGCAAUGGAAACUGGCGGGCUUGAGUGUGGCAGAGGGGGGUGGAAUUCCGCGUGUAGCAGUGAAAUGCGUAGAGAUGUGGAGGAAUACCGAUGGCGAAGGCAGCCUUCUGGGCCAACACUGACGCUCAUGCACGAAAGCGUGGGGAGCAAACAGG
rnacentral:rRNA from 1 species